GGGGGGACGGAGAAGGCUAUGUUGGCCGGGCGACGGUUGUCCCGGUUUAAGCGUGUAGGUGUGUGUUCCAGGUAAAUCCGGUUCACUUUAACACUGAGGCGUGACGACGAGGCACUACGGUGCUGAAGCAACAAAUGCCCUGCUUCCAGGAAAAGCCUCUAAGCAUCAGGUAACAUCAAAUCGUACCCCAAACCGACACAGGUGGUCAGGUAGAGAAUACCAAGGCGCUUGAGAGAACUCGGGUGAAGGAACUAGGCAAAAUGGUGCCGUAACUUCGGGAGAAGGCACGCUGACACGUAGGUGAAGUGAUUUACUCAUGGAGCUGAAGUCAGUCGAAGAUACCAGCUGGCUGCAACUGUUUAUUAAAAACACAGCACUGUGCAAACACGAAAGUGGACGUAUACGGUGUGACGCCUGCCCGGUGCCGGAAGGUUAAUUGAUGGGGUCAGCGCAAGCGAAGCUCCUGAUCGAAGCCCCGGUAAACGGCGGCCGUAACUAUAACGGUCCUAAGGUAGCGAAAUUCCUUGUCGGGUAAGUUCCGACCUGCACGAAUGGCGUAAUGAUGGCCAGGCUGUCUCCACCCGAGACUCAGUGAAAUUGAACUCGCUGUGAAGAUGCAGUGUACCCGCGGCAAGACGGAAAGACCCCGUGAACCUUUACUAUAGCUUGACACUGAACAUUGAGCCUUGAUGUGUAGGAUAGGUGGGAGGCUUUGAAGUGUGGACGCCAGUCUGCAUGGAGCCGACCUUGAAAUACCGCCCUUUAAUGUUUGAUGUUCUAACGUGGACCCGUUACCCGGGUUGCGGACAGUGUCUGGUGGGUAGUUUGACUGGGGCGGUCUCCUCCUAAAGAGUAACGGAGGAGCACGAAGGUUGGCUAAUCCUGGUCGGACAUCAGGAGGUUAGUGCAAUGGCAUAAGCCAGCUUGACUGCGAGCGUGACGGCGCGAGCAGGUGCGAAAGCAGGUCAUAGUGAUCCGGUGGUUCUGAAUGGAAGGGCCAUCGCUCAACGGAUAAAAGGUACUCCGGGGAUAACAGGCUGAUACCGCCCAAGAGUUCAUAUCGACGGCGGUGUUUGGCACCUCGAUGUCGGCUCAUCACAUCCUGGGGCUGAAGUAGGUCCCAAGGGUAUGGCUGUUCGCCAUUUAAAGUGGUACGCGAGCUGGGUUUAGAACGUCGUGAGACAGUUCGGUCCCUAUCUGCCGUGGGCGCUGGAGAACUGAGGGGGGCUGCUCCUAGUACGAGAGGACCGGAGUGGACGCAUCACUGGUGUUCGGGUUGUCAUGCCAAUGGCACUGCCCGGUAGCUAAAUGCGGAAGAGAUAAGUGCUGAAAGCAUCUAAGCACGAAACUUGCCCCGAGAUGAGUUCUCCCUGAGACUUUAGGUCUCCUGAAGGAACGUUGAAGACGACGACGUUGAUAGGCCGGGUGUGUAAGCGCAGCGAUGCGUUGAGCUAACCGGUACUAAUGAACCGUGAGGCUUAACCUU
rnacentral:rRNA from 1 species